UACCGAUAAUGAUUAACCAAUCUGCGCGUUGAGCAUAGUUGCAGCAGGGGAGCAGAACACCUAGUCGCGGCGUCCGGGGUGUACCUGGGUGGGCUAGAACGGAUAAAGUUAAAAAGAGUCGCGUAUGCCUCGCUUAUGUCCAGGAUAGCAUAGACCGUAGGAUGGACGCGAGCUACGCAUCGGACAUGAGCGGAUGGGGGGCAGGUGAUGGGGCACUGGUCCGAGGGGGCUGGUAGGGGUAGGUGUUAAGCUUAGUCCGUCUGCGCCGACGUAGCUCGCCUCCUUGGUGCGGGAGGUGUAGGUGCGCGGACCUAGGGAUCCAACGAAGUGCUAAGUUGCUACUUAGAGUCACGUCUAAGUAAGUGCCUAGAGGAGAAGUCUAAGACAAGGGUAGGCCAACGUUGUCUCCCGCAGGGCCUAGACCCUAACGAUCUCCCCCUCCUCCUCCUCCUCCUCCUCGUGCUUCUCGCGUAGGUAGGAUUAAAGGUCUUGGUAAGAGGAAGUAGUUCGGUUCUACCUCUCUUUAUACCACGGUGUCUAAAUCCUUGAGGAGGAGGAGUACGGUACGGUCUAAAGAGGUUGCAGGGUAUAUAACUGCUGUUGUUUCUCUGAAGCGGACUUAACGUAGGGUGAGGUCAAGGCACCUGAGUUUCCCAGGCUGAACCGUUUUAAGUACUGUCGGCACGGUGUAAUAGCUCUUCCUCUUCACGAAACCUUUUCCGGCACUCUUUAAUGCGUCUAUUCUUCAGUCUCAAGCAGCAGUUCGGUCUCUAGUCAGUCCUUAAACUAAGAAACCGGCUACGAAUGUUGAAGAUGUUGUAUAAGAAACCGACUUCAAGGUCUCCGGUACGGUCUGAAGACCGGAAGGUUGAGACACCGACCCUUCUUUAACAAUUUCCUUUGAAUAGCCGUCGACUACCAACGUACCACCGAACCCAAUGUUCUAGUCCGGUGUUGACUCGACGUACUGGUUCUAUACGGACAGUAUGGUCCUCGUUGAUAAGAUACUUCGAGUUACUUACAUCAUGGCGCGUUCUCCCUAGCUUCGUCCGGUUACUUGUAUUCUCUUUUCGAUCCAAUACUAUUACGGUCGUUCGGUUCUAGUUUCAAAACAAGAUAAACGUCUCCAUUCCCGGUGUAGCGUAGGAUUAUGGGGAGUUUCCCUCUACAUGGUUUCUGUGUUUCCUUUCAGGGUUCCACAUGUUUCACACCGGAACGUCCGGUACUCACUUAAAGCACGAGCUAUUCUUACAAGUAAAACAACAGCCUUCUACUUUAACCACAAUGCUUUCUACAACAUCCGAAAGAAAACAACACGACAAAACUUUCUACUUUAACCACAACAACCGAAAGAAAACAACAGCUUUUAAUCCAAAUACAACACCGGGUCAUCACUUAUACAUUUGAGCCUUUACAAUAGGCCUACACAUUUCAAUCAACACCAUGAAUAAAGUCAUGUUCACGUUGAGUUUAACUUGGAAACUACAAGGAAAGACG
rnacentral:rRNA from 1 species